rnacentral:rRNA from 1 species
GACGAACGCUGGCGGCGUGCCUAACACAUGCAAGUCGAGCGAUGAAGUUCUUCGGAACGGAUUAGCGGCGGACGGGUGAGUAACGCGUGAGCAAUCUGCCUUACACAAAGGGAUAGCCUCGGGAAACUGGGAUUAAUACCAUAUAACACUUUUAGAUCGCAUGAUUUAGAAGUCAAAGAUUUAUCGGUGUAAGAUGAGCUCGCGUCUGAUUAGCUAGUUGGUGGGGUAAAGGCCUACCAAGGCAACGAUCAGUAGCCGGCCUGAGAGGGUGAACGGCCACACUGGAACUGAGACACGGUCCAGACUCCUACGGGAGGCAG